GCGUAUACUAUACCCAAAGUGCGUGUAGUGACGAUAAUUCACACUGGGUUCAACGAAACUGUCGCAAAUUUUGUGGCUUGUGUACAGAUGGUCGUACUACCCAGGUGUCUGCUUGCCAUGAUAAAAUAUCUAACUGUAAGCAGUAUGAACCCGCUGUAUGUAUAGAUGUUUUAUAUAGAUCAUGGAUUGAUGAAAACUGCAGGAAAACAUGUGGUAUAUGUAAAACAGUUGAAACAACCACGCCAGACAUCCACAUACCAACACCAAUGCCAAACAAGAUACCAGUACUACCAUCCUCUAAAACCCCAACCGUUUGAAUAAAGCUGUACAUAAAAUAAUGAACAUAGCAAUUUUAAAAA